rnacentral:pre_miRNA from 1 species
CAUGCAACAGUGGGGUCCCUUGGCCUGGCCUGUGCCCUCUCAUAAUCCGGGACCCCUCAGGGAAUGUCGGAGAGCCGGUUUCAACCCCAUCCCGCAGGCCAGGCUGAGGGACUCCACUGGUGCACG